UCUACCUGCCUAAACUAGCCCAAUCCUAAAUUCCUAAACAGUAGAAUGAUUUGCAGAGAUAAGAAACAUGCACAUAAUUUAUGUUUCCCCCUUUCUCAUGUUACCAUAAUGUUUUGCUGUCUAGUUAGUAAAUAAAUUAAUUGCCCCUUUUUGACCAUAGACAUGAAAAUGAAAUAUCCAACAUUCCUGAUCUUUCAUUGAUGAUAAUUCUUCUUUGAUUUCUGUACAUUUCUGUGUCUUUCUUAUAGAAGAAAGAACCCCUCUAUAAGAGAGGCAACAGAAGGGAGCCUUUAACAGAUCGUUUCCAAAUUUUUGAAGGUAGCUGCUGACCGAGAGGGGGCAGGACACAAAGGCAAGCAAACUGAAGAGGCUCAAAUUAUUUUGCUCUAAGACUCUGACCCGAACGAAGCCUCCGCUCCCUAGCUGCACACGCGGCGCUGCCUGGCCGCCGAGAAGAGCCUCGAUUCUUCCGGAAAGCAUUGACAUGACGCAUACACGCAAGCACACGAGAGCACGCACAUACACACUCACACUCACGCACACCCCCAGAACACCAUAAAUAAAGAAAAUCUCUGUUUUGCAAUUACAGUGGCCUCCUGUGUGUCUGUGCUCCACCCACCGCGGGCUAAUAUCCUUACACUGGUGGAGGAUGUGGGCAUGAGCACAGACCCACCCAUUUAAAAAAUAAAUAAGUAAAUAAAUAAAUAGAUAAGAAAAAAAAAAUGGACCCCACAUUGCAACGCCUGCUGGAGGCAAGUCUCCAGCAACAAACACAGCAGCUCGUGCACAGCGUACAGGCCGUGACCCAAGAACUAGUGGCCCUGAAAACAGCAACUCCCGCAGCCGCCAUGCCUCUCCCUGAUCCCGGCUGUGAGGUCUGCCGCCUGCUUCCUCCACUAAACCCAGAGGAUGAUGUAGAGGCCUACUUGGAGGCCUUUGAACGCAUCGCUCGCCGCAAAGAUUGGGAGGAAGGAAGAAGCUGACUAUGGAGAGAUGAAGGAGAUCCUUGCAUGGUAUGGGCCAACCCCCCACCAGGCGGCGGUGUUCCAUCGGUGGAAAUAUCGGCCGGGGGCCAGACCAUGUGGAACGAUUCGCCGUCCACUAUGACGUACAGCUCACAACGCGGGACUUGGUUUCCUAUUCACUGCCCUAGAGGGACUGGAGGGCUUUGAUCUCAACACUAGAUACCAGCUGUCUCACCUAUUUGCAGACCUUGCUCUUUUGGUUGACGUCCUACGCACUCCGUCUACAACGUCUACCUUUCCUCCUCCUUUGCGGUAUCAGCUUAGCCCAGCUGCUACCCUAGUUGAUGCCUCCACUCAGACGGGUCCUGUUGCCAACACACCUUCUUUGUACUCUGCUGACGAUUAUGAGGCAAUGGAGAACAUGGAUUCCCCCAGUACGGAGUAUUCUGAUGACCCGUUGAGUCCAAUUCCCUCACCAGGGCAUACCCUUUACCAUCAGUCUUUUUCUCCCUCUUAUUCUCCUGCCAGUCCCUCUUACUCUCCUACUAGCCCCCCUUAUUCCCAAUAAAUGUGGUAGUUUGCUUUUUCCUCUGUGUCCUGUGGUUAUUUUCUUGCUUUCCAUA